rnacentral:lncRNA from 1 species
UGUGCUAGAGCAAAAGACUGACUAGACCCUAAGUAUAUGGGUUAGGGUUAGUCGGAUGAACUCUAAGUAUAUAUGUUAGAGUUCGAAUAAAGUUGAUAUCAUUUGACUGAAUUCUAAGUAUGUGGCUUAGAACUCUGUCGAUAUGGAGAUGUUUCGCCUUAGUUAUAUGUGCCAAGACGAUUGACAUAGCCCUAAGUAUAUGUAUUAGGGGUAGUCGAUAUUUAAUUUUUUACUCUAGGUAUAUGUGCCAGAGUAAAAAAAAAGGUUCACGAUGAGAUUUGGGUAUUGGUUCACGAGAUUCGAGUAUUAGCUUAUGAGGUAUGGUUCAUGAAUUUGGUGUAUGGACUUGGUUCAUGAACUUAGAUAUGGUUCAUGGAUUUGGUGUAUGGAUCUAGUUCAUGAACUUGGAUAUGGUUCAUGGGUUUGGUGUAUGGAUUUGGUUCAUGAACUUGGAUAUGGUUAAUGGGUUUGGUGUAUGGAUUUGGUUCAUGAACUUGGAUAUGGUUCAUGGGUUUGGGUUUAUGGAUUUGGUUCAUGAACUUGGAUAUGCUUCAUGGAUUUGGUGUAUGGAUUUGAUUCAUGAACUUGGAUAUGGUUCAUAGAUUUGGUGUAUGGAUUUGGUUCAUGAACUUGGAUAAGGUUCAUGGAUUUGGUGUAUGGAUUUGGUUCAUGAACAUGGAUAUGGUUCAUGGAUUUGGGUUUAGUUUAACGACUUUUCGGUCGACUGAAAUUGAGAUGUUCAUGAAAAUUGGAUUUGGGUUUAGUUUAACGACGUUUCGGUCGACUGAGUUUGGGCUUAGUUUAACGACGUUUCGGUCGACUGAAAUUGAGAUAUUCAUAAAAAUUGGAUUUGGGUUUAGUUUAACGACGUUUCGGUCGACUGAGUUUGGGCUUAGUUUAACGACGUUUCN